ACGAACGCUGGCGGCGUGCUUAACACAUGCCAGUCGAACGGAAAGGCCCUGCUUUUGUGGGGUGCUCGCGUGGCGAACGGGUGAGUAACACGUGAGUAACCUGCCCUUGACUUUGGGAUAACUUCAGGAAACUGGGGCUAAUACCGGAUAGGAGCUCCUGCUGCAUGGUGGGGGUUGGAAAGUUUCGGCGGUUGGGGAUGGACUCGCGGCUUAUCAGCUUGUUGGUGGGGUAGUGGCUUACCAAGGCUUUGACGGGUAGCCGGCCUGAGAGGGUGACCGGCCACAUUGGGACUGAGAUACGGCCCAGACUCCUACGGGAGGCAGCAGUGGGGAAUAUUGCACAAUGGGCGGAAGCCUGAUGCAGCAACGCCGCGUGCGGGAUGACGGUCUUCGGGUUGUAAACCGCUUUCGCCUGUGACGAAGCGUGAGUGACGGUAAUGGGUAAAGAAGCACCGGCUAACUACGUG
rnacentral:rRNA from 1 species